GAUGAACGCUAGCGGCAGGCCUAACACAUGCAAGUCGAGGGGUAUAAAAGAGCUUGCUUUUUAGAGACCGGCAAACGGGUGCGGAACACGUACGCAAUCUGCCCUUAUCACGGGGAUAGCCCAGAGAAAUUUGGAUUAAUACCCGAUAGUAUUAUAAUAAGGCAUCUUGUUGUAAUUAAAGCUAUGGCGGAUAAGGAUGAGCGUGCGCAAGAUUAGCUAGUUGGUGAGGUAACGGCUCACCAAGGCGACGAUCUUUAGCUGAUGUGAGAGCAUGAUCAGCCACACGGGCACUGAGACACGGGCCCGACUCCUACGGGAGGCAGCAGUGAGGAAUAUUGGUCAAUGGACGGAAGUCUGAACCAGCCAUGCCGCGUGAAAGGGAUGAAGGCGUUCUG
rnacentral:rRNA from 1 species